UAAACGACCAGUCGGAACACUUCGGCACCAAAGAUCGCCCCAUUGGCCGCAGCCUCCUUCUGCGUUAUCUCGGCCAACUGCUGCCGACGAUCGCCAUAAAUCACGCAGCUCCUCUGGGCAUAGGAGCCCUCGAUCUCAUAGCCGUGCAGAUUUGAUGCACUGCAAGGAGUUACGUGCGCCAAUGUUUUAGAAUGGCGGAGUCUAGUCUGUUUCUUCACGGAAAAUACGGGAAUGGCUGUCCCCUCGCCCUCGUAGACCAGCCACUGUUGGCUGAAGCUUAGACUCAGCAUCUUACGGCGUG
rnacentral:misc_RNA from 1 species